rnacentral:rRNA from 1 species
GUAUGGGGCAAGCGUUGUUCGGAUUUAUUGGGCGUAAAGGGCGUGUAGGCGGCUCAUCAAGUCUGGUGUGAAAUUGCAGGGCCCAACCCUGCAUAUGCGCUGGAAACUGGUGGGCUUGAGUUCUUGAGGGGAAGCUGGAAUUCCAGGUGUAGGGGUGAAAUCUGUAGAUAUCUGGAAGAACACCGGUGGCGAAGGCGAGCUUCUAUCAGAGGACUGACGCUGAGGCGCGAAAGCGUGGGGAGCAAACAGGAUUAGAUACCCUGGUAGUCCACGCUGUAAACGAUGUGCACUAGGCGUGGGGCCCGUACGGGUUCUGUGCCGUAGUUAACGUGUUAAGUGCACCGCCUGGGGAGUAUGCUCGCAAGGGG